UGGGGGAUAUUGCACAAUGGGCGAAAGCCUGAUGCAGCAACGCCGCGUGAGGGAAGACGGUUUUCGGAUUGUAAACCUCUGUCUUCGGUGAAGAAAAAAAUGACGGUAGCCGAGGAGGAAGCCACGGCUAACUACGUGCCAGCAGCCGCGGUAAUACGUAGGUGGCGAGCGUUGUCCGGAAUUACUGGGUGUAAAGGGAGCGCAGGCGGGGAGACAAGUCAGCUGUGAAAACUAUGGGCUUAACCCAUAAACUGCAGUUGAAACUGUUGUUCUUGAGUGGAGUAGAGGUAGGCGGAAUUCCGAGUGUAGCGGUGAAAUGCGUAGAUAUUCGGAGGAAUACCAGUGGCGAAGGCGGCCUACUGGGCUCUAACUGACGCUGAGGCGCGAAAGUGUGGGGAGCAAACA
rnacentral:rRNA from 1 species